AAAAUGGCCUAAAAACAAAAAGAACACUCUAGAACUAAAAAUGGAAACGCCUAAAGACUUUAAUAUCCCCGUCAGUUGUAAAUGACCUGUCCCCCACCUUCCCUUUUUUCUGAAUGCCGAUUCAGUUUCAAUAGGGGUAGGGCCUGAGAGAGAAUGAGCAAGGUUCUGCUGAAGAGGCUCUCUACACCCUCCAUCUCUGCACCCUGGCGCGCAUUUCAGUCUGGCUUUCUUGGUCUUUCUAGUUCCGAUUGGUGUGAAGCAUACUCAAGAACCGCACCAAUCAGGUAAAUCUCUUCCUUCUUCCUAAAACUUAUGGUGGCUAUGAUAUGGGCUAGCUGGUUAGCCGAUCUCGGAGUAAAGAGGAACGAAAUAUUCUGAAAACUGUCUUUUUUGCUUUGUAUGUUACUGAUAUAAGCAUUAACCUGUGAUCUAUCUCUGGAUUGUGUCAUGCAUUUGUUUAUAAUUGUUUUGGAAUCUCCUUCGAUGAGAAUAUCUGAAAAUCCCAUAUCUUUCCCCAAGAGGACCGCUUCAUAACAAGCGAUAGCUUCCGCUCCGAAGGCCAUAGCCACCCUGAAGUAGAGGGGCCUUCCAUUUUUCAUUUUGCUGGGCGUCACUAAUCUAUCUCUCGUUUAUGCUAUCAAGUUCGCCCAGGUAAUGCCUGACAUACCUAGCAGCCUCUUUUCCUAAAAAAUCCUUACCUUCAUGUAAGUUCUUGUUCCUGUCCAUCCAAAGAACCCACAUACCACAGAUCACUAGUCGGUGUUGUGCUUCCGUACAAUUAUUGAAAAUCCAGG